UAGCCUACGGGGGGCUGCAGUGGGGAAUAUUGCGCAAUGGGGGAAACCCUGACGCAGCGACGCCGCGUGAGUGAAGAAGGCAUUCGGGUCGUAAAACUCUGUUGUAGGGGAAGAAGGACUAGAGCCCUAAUAUGGCUUUAGAAUGACGGUACCCUACGAGUAAGCCCCGGCUAACUACGUGCCAGCAGCCGCGGUAAGACGUAGGGGGCGAGCGUUGUCCGGAAUUACUGGGCGUAAAGAGCACGUAGGCGGGUGUUUAAGUAAGGGGUGAAAGACCGCAGCUUAACUGCGGGGUUGCACCUGAAACUGGAUAUCUUGAGGGCAGGAGAGGGCAGUGGAAUUCCAGGUGUAGCGGUGAAAUGCGUAGAAAUCUGGAGGAACACCAGUGGCGAAGGCGACUGUCUGGACUGACCCUGACGCUGAGGUGCGAAAGCGUGGGUAGCAAACAGGAUUAGAUACCCGAGUAGUCG
rnacentral:rRNA from 1 species